GACGAACGCUGGCGGCGUGCUUAACACAUGCAAGUCGAACGGCUAGCACAGAGGAGCUUGCUCCUUGGGUGGCGAGUGGCGGACGGGUGAGGAAUACAUCGGAAUCUACUCUGUCGUGGGGGAUAACGUAGGGAAACUUACGCUAAUACCGCAUACGACCUACGGGUGAAAGCAGGGGAUCUUCGGACCUUGCGCGAUUGAAUGAGCCGAUGUCGGAUUAGCUAGUUGGCGGGGUAAA
rnacentral:rRNA from 1 species